AGGAAGAUUGCAGAGAAGAUGUUGGACUUGAGCUUCCUGACCGAGGAGGAGUAUGAGAAGCUGAUGAAGGUUCUGCAGAGAGAUGCAGAGCUGAAGAAGAAGGAUGGGGAUCGGAUCAGGCGGAUACAAGGCUCCAUCAAGGAUGAAAAGAAGAAGAAGUUUGUGACAGGUGAAUGGUUUUCAGAAGUGAAGGCAAAACGGUUUCAGGAAGACUUAGAGGGGCCAGAUCUACUUCGGGCAUCGAUUAGAAGGAAAAAGGGCAAACUAGAAAAUGAGGCCAACGAGCACAUCUGGGCAGGUCUGGAAAGCAAAGCUGCCCCGAGCCCUGCCUUCCCUGAGCAUGCUGCUGGCACGGGAGAGGAGAGAUCCAGCACGCCUGCUUUUGAUACCGCAGAGGAGCGUAAAAUCUUGCCAAAACCGAAGCCAAGACUUGGUCUCCCACUGUCAGCAUCACACAAGAGAUCCAGUAUACAUGAUGUCUCUUCCUCAGAGAGUGACACUGGAACAAGUCCAUUUGUGGCGGCACCAAACAGCUUGCAUUUGUCUAGAAAAGGUCAUGGACUAUCUCCUUUGCCCACCAAGCUUUCAGAGGAUGCUGUGCCUCAGCCCAGCAGUGCAGCUGGAGGAGAAGCUGUUGAUGGGGCCACUGGCACCACAGUGGGGCCAAAAACUCCACCCGAAGAAACUUAUGCUCCCAGCAAGAUACCAGUUAAGAGGAAACCAAGCAGAACUUUCUCCAGAUCUGAGCAGUUUGUGAAUCACAUGGGGCCGUCAGAGAACAGCCUUGCAAAGAGAGAGCUGCUGGCCAGCCCCAAACCGCUGACCGCAGAGAGGGAAGGCAGCCAGGCUGUGAAGCAAGGCGUGAACUAUACGAUCUCAUCAAUGAGUAACAAAGAGGAGGAUAUCGGCCUCAAUCGUGAACAUUUCAAGAACUUGAAAAACUUCUGGGAGAAGGGAGCGGACUCUGUGCUGGUGGGAAAUGUGCUGGAGGACCCGAGCUGGGUGGAGGCAGACGGUAGGCAGUUCAAGCUGUGCCGCUCACUCUCUGGGCAGCCUGGGCAAGGCCAGAACAGCGAAGAAAAACCUGGUGUCUUCACCAAAACAAGAACCCCCUACAAAAGGACAAUAACCUUGUCUUCUAGCGAGGAAGAACCAAGCUAUGUAGCCCCCGUGAGGAAAGGCUCAGUUUCCAUCAUUCCUAGAUCCACGUAUGCCAAGAGUAAAGGCGGCCUGGCUACAAGAAAUAACUCGCUGAGUGAAAGCAAUGGGAAGCAGCCAGUGCCAGAGGAAGAGAAGGUGGCACAGCACUGCUCCAAGAAAUCCAGAUUGCCUGUGCGAGCGCCUUCCGUCAAAAUCGAGUCGCCUACCAAAGAAGUGUCUGGCAGCACGUUUGAGCCAGAGACGCCUACAGAUGAGUUUAUCGUGGCAGAAGAGCGCAAGCAUGCAGUGAAUUCUCUGGCGAGCAGGGUGCAGAUACUGAUCGAGCCUGUGCUUACAGAUGGUGAAAACGAUGAUGAUAAGGAUGAAAGAUCUGAUUUGGGCACCCAUGACAACAUGGAAAUAAAUAGAGCACUACCUGAGGAAAAAACCUAUGAGUCUUCAGACAAGCCAUCACCCAGUGAAGCAGAUGGAGAGAGAGAAGCUGUUCAGGGAGCGGACUCAGCUGUUUACUCAGAGGAAGAUGGGGAUCAUUCUCCUGCUGCUCAGGCAUUGGCCCGAGCAAAUAGCAUUAAUCUGGCAAAGAGCAUGGUGAACAUUUACACAACCACAGAGACAUACAAUAAACCUCAUUUGAUACCCCAUCAGUUUCUUGAACCGGAAAGAGUCAAAGAGCUGAGCAGAUCCUCUCCUCUCCUGUUGUCUGAGACUGAAUCAGACACGGCUUCGGAAAUCAGCUUCCAGUUUAACAAGCACAAAAAGACGCCUAGCAUUGGCAGCCACUCGUCCGACAUGGCAUCUGUCUCCUCGGUGAGUGGCAGUGUGCUCAGUGUCUACAGCGGUGAUUUUGGGAGUGUGGAUGCCCAAGGUACCGUGGAGUUUGCCCUAGACUAUGAUGAGAAGAACCGGGAGUUCCAGGUUCAUGUGUCCCAGUGCAAGGACUUGGCUGUUGUGGAUGAGAAGAAAGGCAGAUCUGACCCGUAUGUUAAAACUUACCUGCUCCCAGACAAAGCUAGAAUGGGUAAGAGGAAAACUUCAGUGAAGAAGAGGACAGUAAAUCCCAUUUAUAAUGAGGUGUUACGGUAUAAAAUAGAGAAAACGGUGUUGCUGAUCCAAAAAUUAAAUCUCUCUGUUUGGCACAAUGAUCCACUGGGACGUAACAGUUUCUUGGGAGAGAUCGAAGUAGACUUGGCCAGCUGGGACUGGAGCAACAGGAAACUCAACUGGUACCCGCUGAAGCCCCGAAGCCUUUCUGCUGUUAAUGGUGUGGAUCAUCGAGGAGUGAUGAAUUUGUCUAUUAAGUAUGUCCCUCCAGGAAGCCUAGGUCCCAAGAAUCCUCCCUCUGGAGAAGUUCACAUUUGGGUCAAAGACGUCAAGGACCUGCUGCAGUUGCGUCCUUCUGGAGUUGACUCCUUUGUGAAAUGCUAUGUGCUUCCAGACACCAGUAAGAAGAGUUACCAAAAGACCCGAGUCAUUAAAAGAGACACAAACCCUGUUUUCAAUCACACUAUUGUAUAUGAUGGCUUUCAUACAGAGGAUCUAAAGGAUGCUUGUGUUGAACUGACUGUGUGGGAUCAUGAAAAACUUACCAACCAUUUCCUUGGAGGAAUCAGGCUGGGCCUUGGGACAGGUUUGAGCUAUGGCAUCUCUGUGGACUGGAUGGACUCCACGCAAGAGGAGGUGGCCUUUUGGCAGGAGAUGAUGUCAGCUGCCAAUGAAUGGAUUGAAGGAUUGCUGCCACUGCGCUCACUGGCAGGGAGGAAAAAACUGAAAUAACCUACGAUUUGUGCCAUAGAAAGGUUGAACGUGGUCAUUAGAAUUAGGAAACUUCCUGCACCGAUGUGAUAGAGACCAUCCACGGGGCUGGCAUGUGUCAGGUUAAUCAGGCAGUUGAUGGACUGCACUUUGGAAAUGUUAAAUGUUAAGUACUAAUUCCCUGACAGAGGACAUGGAAGAUGCCAAGCUGAUGCUAUACUUUGUUUCGACCAAGAAGAAACUUCAUUUGUCUUUUUAUUUAAUCAUUUAUAUUCAGUAACUGAAUUCCAUUAGCCUCUGGGAGCAUUGGCAGAAGGAAAAGGAGAUAUCUAAUAGAUAUUUUUAUUUUUUUACUGUUUCUUGUGCCAUUUUUUUUUUCCGUGCAGAGAUGUAGUUGUACUAAAGCAGCAGCAUGGUAUUAUUCACAUUCCCCUGCAAGUGGUACACUUUGUACUUGAUGUAGAAUUGCUCCAGCAGCUGUCACCAGCAGCACAGUCUGAGAAUGGGAGCUUUGCAUUUGUCGCUGGUGAUAACGCGUCUCUAACGUGAGGAAAAUUGACAUCCAAGGUGAAUCUACAGAAAGAGAGGACUGUUUGAACCAGGAAAUGAAGCAGCGUGAGGAGAACAGUGAGGAAUUCAAUAUACUAAUUCCGUUCCGAUUUAAUAUGAAAGAGAGAAGUGAUGCUCCUGCAGGUAGUAGGAUUUUGCAGCCAGGGGCUGUUUUCCUAGCUUUCCCACAGGCUUCCUCAGUGACCUCAGGCAAGUUUCUCUAUGAAAGGCCAGUUUCAGUGCAAUAUAAACCACAGCGCUUGCCCGAGUGUGAAAUACGGCUACACUGCUGAUGGGCCUGAUCGCACCUUUGAAAUGCCUUGUGUGCAAAACAUUUCAAUAUGAAACGAUGAUGUAGGAAGGAGUCUCGUGUUAGCCUGGCGCGGCGGGUCGGGAAGGAAAGGCCAGAACCACACUGGAGAUGUUGGGAGCCAGUGGGAGAGCAUGCAGGUACCAGUGACGUGGCGGGACCUGACUGCGGUCACUGAGCUCUUGCUGGAUACAGAAGUGACCCUGGGGGCUGAGCAGGCCUGGGAAAUGGUGUCCCGGUCAUCUGCUGGCACUGUUAAAAUGGAUACCCGGGAGGAGAUGUCCCUCUGAGCGCCGUUGCAGAGGUGGUCAGCAGACAUUGGGAAGCUCACUGCAAAGCACCAUGCAAAAGCAUGUUUGCAAAGACGCUGUAAGGUAUGUGCUACUGGAGCCGUGCUGCUCUCGGCAGCAUCGCUGCUGCACAAGAUCCUACUGACCUGCGGAAAGCUCUUGAAAACAGAAGUCCCUUCCCAUGGGGUCAGCCAGGAGAAGCCACUUUUGCCCAGGGGCUUCACUUUUUGGGAGGCUCCUUGUACGGGUGGCUCUGCCAUGAGAAGCAGCUUUGCCAGCAAGGGUCAGGGUGAAGUUCAUGAGGCCACAGGAGGACUCUGAGUGUGUUUUGGUAUCACAGUACCAUUUCCUGACCUGCUGUGAGCAGGAGAUACCAGAUUCGUAGCAAUGAGGUUUGAGCAAGAGCCGGAAAUGCCAGGAUGGCCCUUCCCAUUUUUGAGGUGUUGGCCAGCUUCUCCCACCCUUCUGAACAUGUUGGUUGGUUGGAGCGUGCUGGGUCAGCUCACAGCAGCACAAAAACUGAGCAUUGGCCUCCAGGAGGCCCAUGGAGAAAUUACUGUUAAAGGCUUGUAGGAGAUCUCUUCUGAAAGAGGGAUGGACUUAGUGGAGAGCUGGGAAGGUGUCCUGCAGGGGCCAUAGAAGAGUUCAGCAGCUCUAGAUCAAGUUCCUUUUGAUUUUGUGUUAAUUUCCCGUUCACUCAGCUGAAAUGCCUCCUGUCAGGUAGUAAAAUCUGAAUGAAGUUGGAUGAAGAUGUCAGCAGGCAGCAGCAUCCUUAGGAGUGGAACAACAUAAAUGGGAGCAGGGUCUGAGCUUGGUCCCACCAGGUUUGUGCCAGCAGACUCUAGUUAGCAUUCCUGUUGGAGAGGGGCUGGUGGUGGUACAGUCAUUUUCCUGCAAGUGACCUGAAAUAGGUGCUCGCGUAAGCAGGCAGAUACUUGCCUUUUAAAAUGCUGUAAAAUCAUAUUAUGGCUGGACCGGUCUCUGGGCCGUGGCAAUCCAACCUCUGUUGUAGACCCAAACUAGCUAAACCAGCCCUGCUUUAAUAAAUCGUUUUAGGAGGAAAGGAAGGAGUCCUGAAUAUGAAGGCAUUUCUGCUGGUCAGUUUUCCUUUCUUUUUCCAGGACUGCAGUCAGUGUUUAGCAAAUCACUUGACAUCCUAUAUUUCACAAAAUGAAAAAUACAGAACACCGCAGACCCACAGUCCUAGCUCCUGCAACACCUUAAAGACCACCCCCCCAAUUAGUCCUCCACAGGCGUUGCAGCUUCUGAUAAAAAGGCAUGUGUUUAGUGGUGUUGAACAGAGCAAAUGCAAGUAUAUUUUGCCUUUUCUCACUCUACAGACCUGCCUGUGCUGCUGCUAAACUUGAGACGCUACCAGUAGGAGCAGAAAUCAGAUUUCAUGCAUCUAACAACCCGUAAUGCCCUCCUGCUAGUUAUUAACAAUCCAAAGUAGCUCUUGAUCUGUAAGCAAGCAGUCUGAGCUCUGGGCUUGGAGGGGAAGCUAGGGAGCCGUUUUCUGACAAAGUAGGUAGCUCAGACACCCACUCUGUAGGAAGAAAAAUCACAAUAACCUCUUUUCCUCUCCUCUCUCUCCCACUCACCAUUACUAAUUUAUCCUGGUUGUAAUGGCUUCUGUUUGCUCUAAGCAGAUCCUGUUCCCUUCCUGGGAAGACUUGAAUAGCUACAAGGACAUAAUAUUCCCAGUGGAGGAUCUGUUCUUGGAUUCAAGCAGACUCAGGCAGAUAUAAUGAUCUCUUGAUGGGAGCCCCUCCUUUUUUGACCGGCCAACCCAUGACCAUUUUAAUGUGAUCAUAAUCUGAAAUAAGACACCGGGAGCUGCAUCUGGAGUAAGCCAUCCCAUGGUAAUGAGCUGACAUUUAAUUUAUUGUCCCAGGGAAACGUUUUGCAAAGGUUUUAUGUCUCUUCAAAAACCCAGCUGACUUGCUCGCAUGUGCGAGCCACUGGGGUGGAGGCUGUGUCUUGUGGGUGCUGUGUGGCACCAGAGGGUGGCCCUGCCACUUGCAGGGGUGCAGGGACAAGGUUAUCCUCUGGGCACGCCCACCCAUGUACGGGAAUUUAACCUCCCCCCAUCCGUUCAGGUUGCAAAGCAAAUGCUAACACUGCCCUGGAGCACUGUUAUUGACUCAGGAGGCUUCUCUGGUUAUUUCUGGAGUUUCUCUGCAUUUGUGUCUCUCCCACAUUCUCCUAUCAGCACAGAUCCUAGCUGGCUUUGCAGCCCCAUCUCUGUGGCGUCAUUAAGCUCCUUGGGAGGAGGCAGAGCCUCCUGCUCAGGGGAUGGGGCAGUUCAAACUGUCUGAGGUCGGGCAGCUGCUUUGUGCUGGGCCUUUUGUUCCUCUAUGGCUAAGGGAGAGAGCAGUGAUGGUGGAGGAUGGCUCAUCCCAUCAAGAUGGGUGGGAUAAAUAACUCUCAAAAUGUUCCUGCCUCUCUCUGAUAGCUACAGGAGGAGCCUGGUAGCCUAGUGGAGGAAAGACAUUUAGGUAAUGUGUUCCUAUAUUAACGGGGGACCAUUAAUGAGACAGCCAGCAUCACUCAGUCAUGACUAUAUUUAUCAAGCCUGUGUCUGCUCUACUGCUUUUGAUUUGAUCCCGGUGUGACACUGGGGGACCAGUGGUACCUCUGCAGGAUGCCACCCCUGGAACCCCAACCAGCGUGCUUGGAGGUGCCUUGGUGUGUAGUACCCCACUGCUCACUAGAAGCAUUUUGCUGACAAGUUGGCAUUUAGGGAGGGAGGUUAGACAGGUUUCCUGGGGACAGAGGCUGCCAGUCUGCCACAGAAGCCCACCACUACAAAAGGCCCUUUAGCCCAGCCAAAAGCCAAGGUGGGACAGAAGCUUCACCAUGUGGCUCCUGGCAUUCGGCCCUGCCUGCGCUUCCCUCCUGCUACUGCUGUUGGAGGCUCUAAGGCUGUCACCUCGUCACAAAGUCCUAAAUUGCACUCCCAGUGCCUGCUGUCAGCUGGGCUGUCAGUUCCGAGCACCGUGUGGCUUUACGCUUGUCUGCACCACCCUGACUAACCGUGGGCAUCAUAUAAAUAAUAAACAUUAAUUCGCUUAAUACCUUCCCUCUGUCCCGGGUUUUACAGUGGCACGCAUCAGCUAGCAGGUCAUGGGUGCAAUCACAUCCCUGUCAACAGCGUAAUCUGCCUCUGCCUCACAUCUCCUGGACAGGCCUAAUUUAACAGGGAUGUUUUUUGGAACUAGCUAAUAAAUUGUUUGCUACGUGUGGUUAGCCAGCCCCGGUCUCAGCACUCCCAGCACCCCGGUGUGCAGCCUGUAGCUGUUUGCAGUAACCGGUCUCGGGGCUGUUUGGUAGCCUACGCUCGCAGGGCUCGGCUUGGGUGCAGUUCAUCUCUGGGGUGAUGAGCAGCUCCACUGCGAGUGGGGCUGGGGACGUCAGCCGGUGGGUUCGGGUGCUCUGGUUCACCAGUGUGUUGCGAUCGUGGCACCUUCCCAGGCUGGGCCACAGGCACGGGCCGUCUCGGGCAGCUCCUGUGCAGCCAGCCCCGCAGCGAGGGAUUGUGUCGGCUAUUGAUUGUUUUUUGUAUCCUUGGAAACUGAAAGGGCAUUAAAAUUGCAUGGUGCGUGCA